UACGUAGGGGGCAAGCGUUGUCCGGAUUUAUUGGGCGUAAAGCGCACGUAGGCGGCUUUUCAAGUCGGAUGUGAAAUCCCUCGGCUUAACCAAGGAAGUGCAUCCGAAACUGGAAGGCUUGAGUACUUAAGAGGAUCGCGGAAUUCCCGGUGUAGAGGUGAAAUUCGUAGAUAUCGGGAGGAACACCAGUGGCGAAGGCGGCGAUCUGGGAAGAUACUGACGCUGAGGUGCGAAAGCGUGGGGAGCAAACAGG
rnacentral:rRNA from 1 species